CCCUUAGAUGUUCUGGGCCGCACGCGCGCUACACUGAUCGGUGCAACAAGCAUCCGUCCUUGGCCGACAGGCCCGGGCAAUCUUUGAACGCCGGUCGUGAUGGGGAUAGACCUUUGCAAUUUUUGGUCUUCAACGAGGAAUUCCUAGUAAACGCAAGUCAUCAACUUGCAUUGAUUACGUCCCUGCCCUUUGUACACACCGCCCGUCGCACCUACCGAUUGAAUGGUCCGGUGAAACCUCCGGAUUGGCGCGUGCCCUCGGGCGCCGCCGAGAAGUUGGUUAAACCAUAUCAUUUAGAGGAAGGUGAAGUCGUAACA
rnacentral:rRNA from 1 species